GGGCGUGUGGCGGAACUGGCAUACGCGCGUGGCUUAGGACCACGUUCCUUCACCGGAUUGAGGGUUCGACUCCCUCCACGCCCA
rnacentral:tRNA from 1 species